rnacentral:rRNA from 1 species
UUUACGGGAGGCAGCAGUGGGGAAUAUUGCACAAUGGGCGAAAGCCUGAUGCAGCCAUGCCGCGUGUGUGAAGAAGGCUCUAGGGUUGUAAAGCACUUUCAGUAGGGAGGAAAUGUUGUUGGUUAAUAGCCAGCGAUCUUGACGUUACCUACAGAAGAAGCACCGGCAAACUCCGUGCCAGCAGCCGCGGUAAU